GCCCUGAAGCCAGGGGAGCCCGGGAUGUCUCUGCUGCUGGCCACCCUGCUGCUCCUCCUCUCCACCCACAGCGUCCUGGCCCUGAGGAUCUGCUCCUUUAAUGUGAGGUCCUUUGGGAAAUCCAAGAAGGCAAACUGUAAUGCCAUGGAUGUCAUUGUGAAGGUCAUCAAACGCUGUGACAUCAUACUCCUGAUGGAAAUCAAGGACAGCAACAACAUAAUCUGUCCCACACUGCUGGAGAGACUGAACGGAAACUCAAGAAGAGGCAAAACAUAUAACUAUGUGAUUAGCUCUCGUCUUGGAAGAAACACAUACAAAGAACAGUAUGCCUUUCUCUAUAAGGAAAAGCUAGUGUCUGUGAAAGCAAGCUACCUCUACCAUGACUACCAGGCUGGCGAUGCAGAUGUAUUUUCCAGGGAACCCUUUGUGGUCUGGUUCCAGUCACCCCACACCGCUGUCAAGGACUUCGUGAUUGUUCCCCUGCACACCACCCCUGAGACAUCCGUUAAAGAGAUUGACGAGCUGGCUGAUGUCUAUACGGAUGUGAAACGUCACUGGAAGGCGGAGAAUUUCAUUUUCAUGGGUGACUUCAAUGCUGGCUGCAGCUACGUCCCCAGGAAGGCCUGGAAGAACAUCCGCCUGAGGACUGACCCCAAGUUCAUUUGGCUGAUCGGGGACCAAGAGGAUACCACGAUCAAGAAGAGCACAAACUGUGCCUAUGACAGGAUCGUGCUUAGAGGACAAGAGAUCGUCACCUCUGUUGUUCCUCAAUCAAACAGCAUCUUUGACUUCCAGAAAGCUUACGGGUUGACUGAAGAGAAGGCCCUGGAUGUCAGCGACCACUUUCCAGUUGAAUUUAAACUUCAGUCUUCAAGGGCCUUCACCAACAGCAAAGAAUCUGUCUCUCCAAAGAAGAAAAAAAAGACCAGCCGCACCUAGAUACAAGGGUGCCAUUUUAUUCACCAUUUCUUGCCUCUACAUAAAGCAGCUCCAAUAGGUAUGAACUGUUCCCGGCACUCAGGAAACAAGACUGGCCCAACUGCGUUCAUUUUUCAACUUGUAUCUAAUUCAUCUUGAGCCAAACUGGGAAGAGUGUCUUCUAUUCUCCCUCUAGAGCUCGAGCUCAUACCUCCCCUGAAUUUCUCAAAAGGAAACUAGGGUCUUUUGCAGUCCAAAACGAUGGCCUUCAUGUUGGGAGCUAGAGCCCCAUCAGCUGUCACUGCUCUACCUGCCGAGAGAGGCCGCAGGAAGAGGAACAUCAGCUUUCCGUCUUCUUGAGGGCGUCCUGUUCCAUGCGAAACGACCAGAAAUGCCAAGAACACCAAGGCCCCAACUGUAGCCCAUGAUUUGGGCAAUGAACUGCGUCAGGAUCUGGCCCUCCUGUCUGAGUACAUGAACAGGGCUAAAUCUGCAAGCAGUACCAAGGAAUAAGCAAAGAGAAGGAACGCUGUGCCUUGGCCCCCCUGGUGUCCUGUCUCAGAAGCAGCCCCUCCUACCAGCUUACGCAUCCACCAGAGAGUCUGCAUAAAUAAGAACCGUGUGUAACUUUGAGAAAUACAGAGUAUAGCAUUCUAUACACGUGGUCCCGCUCUGCUGAUUUUCCUAAACAUAUCCAGGACGAUGUGACUUUCGAUAUAAGAAAACGAGACUGUGAGCCUGAUUUUUUUUCUAUACAUUUAUUUGUUUGUUUUUUGGCUGUGUUGGGUCUUCGUUGCUGUGCGCGGGCUUUCUCUAGUUGUGGCGAGCGGGGCUACUCUUCAUUGCGGUAUGCGGGCUUCUCAUUGUGGGGGUUUCUCUUGUCAUGGACCAUGGGCUCUAGGCAUGUGGGCUCAGUAGU